UGGAUUAGGGCGGGGUGGGCUGCACUUGCGAGUUGGGACGGGGUGGGUGACUGGGUGGAGAAAACAGAUCGAGAUCCCGCGAGAAAGCUGAAGGCACGACACCGCCGCCGUCUCCAUCGCCACCGCCGCACCUCCCCUCCUCCGACGUCCACAAAUCGAGAUCUACGGGGGAGGUGUUGUAGGCCUCUGUACACCCCCAUCGCAGGAGCCGCAGGUGGAUGGACCUAGCUUCGGCACCACCGUCGACUUGAAGUUUGAGGAACCGCGGCGAUCUGCUGCCAGCCGUCGUCAAUCAUGAGGAACCGCGGCGGCGCGCCGCCCUCGGCCAGGCUGCAGGAGGAUUCAUCGAUUCAUUAGGAGGACAAGAUCGAGCAGAGCAGGUGGAGGAGGAAUUAAUCUCGCCGGUGAACAGAACAUGCCGGCAUACCUCUGGAGCCGCGCUUGACGCCGUCGGCGGUGACGUCGGUGUAGAAGGCGUCCCAGGUGCACCAGCCGAACCAGUCGAGGAACGACGGCAGCUUCUUCCUCUCCCAGUGGUGGAACGUCUGCAGGUGCUUCUCCACCGCCCGGACGGCGGCGCCUGCUCGUAUAGCUGAUGAGAAUUAAGUGACAAGUCUACAUACAACGGACCUGUGCUGAAUGGAGAGGCUACGACUUAACUGCAGAUUUAGCAAAAUAGCAUUGCUUGCAGUAGAGGAGGACCUGCCAGAGCCUGAAUUGGGGAGCAAUUUGUGGGCAGAAUGCCGCACCAGCACCAAGCGUUAACCUGGGGCUCAGGAUUGCAAGGAGCUGAUGCAGCUUUUUUAGGAUAGCAACAGCAUCGCCCUUUUGAGGAACUGUAACUUCAUGUGAUAGUUACAAAAAUUACCAUCGCAUUUGUUCGAGCUACAUGUGUCACAGUUUUUUAUGUUUUAAUGUUACCAUUGUUACUACCACGAUACCAGGAGAUGUUUGGAAGGUGGUUGAUCUGAUAGCUUGCAUGUACAGUACAGA